GACGAACGCUGGCGGCGUGGAUUAGGCAUGCAAGUCGAACGGUAUCAUCCUUUCGGGGGUGAGAGAGUGGCGAACUGGUGAGUAACACGUAGGUUAUCUACCCUCAAGACGGGGACAACCCAGGGAAACUUGGGCUAAUACCGGAUGUGAGCAACUUUUAGUGUUUGAAAGGUGGCGUAAGCUGUCGCUUGGGGAUGAGCCUGCGUCCUAUUAGUUAGUUGGUGAGGUAACGGCUCACCUAGGCAAUGAUAGGUAGGCGGCCUUAACGGGUGGUCGCCCACACUGGGAUUGAGAUACGGCCCAGACUCCUACGGGAGGCAGCAGUCGAGAAUAGUCUACAAUGGUCGGAAGACUGAUAGUGCGACGCCGCGUGAACGAUGAAUCCCUUCGGGGUUAAAGUUCUUUUAUACGUGAGCAGUGUCCUUUAUAUUAAUAGUAUAAGGGGAGAGAUAUUAGCGUAUGAAUAAGCAACGGCUAACUCCGUGCCAGCAGCCGCGGUAAGCUAGUCUACG
rnacentral:rRNA from 1 species